GAUGAAGAACGUAGCGAAAUGCGAUAAGUAAUGUGAAUUGCAGAAUUCAGUGAAUCUUCGAAUCUUUGAACGCAACUUGCGCCCUCUGGUAUUCCGGAGGGCAUGCCUGUUUGAGUGUCAUGUAGACUCAAUCCCUCGGGUUUCUGAGGAGGUUGGAUUUGGGUGCUUGCCUUCUGGCUCGCCUUAAAGGACUUAGCAGGAUAGCACUGUAGUCGACGUAAUAAGUCUCGUCGGUGAAAGUGUGAUGUCUGCUUACAGAUUGCCCUUGGGCACUUUUGACUCUGACCUCAAAUCAGGUAGGACUACCCGCUGAACUUAAGCAUAUCAAUAAGCGGAGGA
rnacentral:misc_RNA from 1 species